CGUGUUUCUCCCUCGUUGUCAAGCAGUCCCAUGGUAACCGUCUCUUCGAGGGUUCACUUUCAAAGUGACAAGUCUGAUUCCCCCGAAAUUUGCUUAAGCUGGAGUUGACAUGAGCCAAGAAAACACUGAUAGAAAGAGAAAGGAACUGAAAACAUGGACUAGAGCCUUGGUUCUGAUGGCAGAAUACACUACAUAACAGGUGAUUUAUGAAAGACAUUUCAAGCCUUGCCAUCUGGAUGACUGUUAGCGGUUGGACUGGUAUCCCUCACAAUACAUUAAAUACAUAUCAUCAACAUAUAGAUUUCUGCUAUUGGUUCAUUUUCUGAUGGAACAAAGCUGUAAGUCCUGAGUGGUAUAUUAGUUAACUUUGUGUUUCAGUUGUAUUUUACAUAUGAGGCAGACUGUGUGAUAUCCUGAGUGUUUUAUGAGUUAACUUUGUGUUUCUCCUGUAUUUUAGAUAUGAGGCAGACUGUGUGAUGUGUGUCUGGCACAUCAGGACUACUCUGUUGGUUUAUAAUGGGGUUGUGGAGACGUAUAGAGAACACACACAGCUUCGCAUGGCGGCCCUCCUGACAGGAACACACGGACGAGCACAGCGGCAUUCUGGGACCAGGUGGUGCCGAGGCCAAUCGUGGAUGAGAUGUUCCGUGUCCCAGUACCAGGCUGAGGUCGUGACCUCUACAGAUGGGACGGCCAGACUCAGUGCUUAAUACCACAGCAUCAGACAGUUAGACAGACACACACGUUGGAAGCAGGCAGCUUCCAUUUAUCAGAGAAGCAAAGCUCUCCGUGAAGAUUCUAUACUUUAGUCUCUAUUCUCAGCAGAGGACAUCGUCAGAUAAAUCAACAGAGAAGAUGGUGAUCUCACUCUGCACUUUCUUCUCAGAGGCAGUGAUAAGUCUUUUAAUGUAACGGGCCGUACACUCAUUUGUUAGAGCUGGUGAUUAUAUUUGUUUGAGGUUUUCUAGCCCAUGAUAGGGAUAGCGUGGUUGUAUUGAAAUAAUUGUUGACCUCUCUCUGAAUGAAAGACAAGGAGAUGAAGAGAUUCAUGUUUUAAAGUCGUGCUCUUGGCCGUGAAGCAGAUUGGGGCUCUGCUCAAGGUAUUAUUGGCGUUACAAAUAUUGAGAAUGUUUAUGUAAUUCUCAAAUGACUCAUGACCCAGUACCACUAGUAGGUGACGCAGGAUUUCUGUUUACCCUUGUGUUUUUAUCAGGUUAAUGGACUGUUAUAGACUCACAGUUUUUAAGGUCAUGUUGGGAAUUUGAAGAAUAUGUUUCCAUUGUUGGAAAACAUGACAAAAUGUUCCUUUCUUGGAAGUAAACAAAGUUACUGGUCUGAAACGUUGCUCAAUCUGAGUCUCGGGAACAUUGUAGAUGUUGCACGUAACCUGGCAACCGUCCUCACGGGCUAUGGUCUGUGGUCCCCAUGGAGACGUCAGUGAUGUCGACAGACACUCUUUGUCAAGUAGCCUACAGGAACAGGUGGAUUUUUUUAGACAUUGUUUUUCGUUUUCAGAGAUGAUAUAUAAUCCUUGAUUUGAAGCCAGUUACAGUACCAUAUACAGGAAAUAAAGUUACAGUACCAUAUACAGGAAAUAAAAAGUUACAGUACCAUAUACAGGAAAUAAAAAGUUACAGUACCAUAUACUGUAAAUAAAAAGUUACAGUACCAUAUACAGGAAAUAAAAAGUUACAGUACCAUAUACAGGAAAUAAAAAGUUACAGUACCAUAUACAGGAAAUAAAAAGUUACAGUACCAUAUACAGGAAAUAAAAAGUUACAGUACCAUAUACUGGAAAUAAAAAGUUACAGUACCAUAUACUGUAAAUAAAAAGUUGGCCAAACUUCUAACAAUGUCGCAACGAACUCAAAUAACUUAUUUGAUGAUAAUUCUCUCCCCUUCUCCCCUCUCUGUCCUGUGUGCCUCAGUUAGUAGAGCAUGGCACGUGCAAUGCCAGGAGUGUGAGUUUGAAAAAGUACAAAAAUGUAUGCAUUCACUACUGUAAAUCGCCCUGGAUAAGAGCUUCUGCUAAGUGACUCAAAUGUUAAAUUGAGAGUAAGCGUUCAUACCACAAUAUUUACAAAGUUUUCAUAAACAAGAGCCAACCUGGAUGGCAGUUUUUUGUGUGAAUCCGGCCGCUUCUCACUAUUGGCCACUCAGGAUCCUAACGAGGAGGCAUUAGUUGCGUUUAAGUGUCUUCUCAACACCAAAAAUGUAUUAUCCAGCUCUUAAAACAUGACAGCCCGGGCUCUUCACUCUGUGUGUGUGUGUGUGUGUUGUGUGUGUUCUCCAUACGAUGGAUGGGAUAACAAGAGGAAAGCUUAUCCCGACCACCCCUGACCAAGUCCUUCAAAAAUGGUUUCCAUAUGGUUCA
rnacentral:lncRNA from 13 species